UACGUAGGGUGCAAGCGUUAAUCGGAAUUACUGGGCGUAAAGCGUGCGCAGGCGGUUUUGCAAGACAGAUGUGAAAUCCCCGGGCUUAACCUGGGAAUUGCAUUUGUGACUGCACGGCUAGAGUGUGUCAGAGGGGGGUAGAAUUCCACGUGUAGCAGUGAAAUGCGUAGAUAUGUGGAGGAAUACCGAUGGCGAAGGCAGCCCCCUGGGAUAACACUGACGCUCAUGCACGAAAGCGUGGGGAGCAAACAGG
rnacentral:rRNA from 1 species